UACGGGGGGGCAAGCGUUGUUCGGAAUUACUGGGCGUAAAGCGCACGUAGGCGGACUAUUAAGUCAGGGGUGAAAUCCCGGGGCUCAACCCCGGAACUGCCUUUGAUACUGGUAGUCUCGAGUCCGGAAGAGGUGAGUGGAAUUCCGAGUGUAGAGGUGAAAUUCGUAGAUAUUCGGAGGAACACCAGUGGCGAAGGCGGCUCACUGGUCCGGUACUGACGCUGAGGCGCGAAAGCGUGGGGAGCAAACAGG
rnacentral:rRNA from 1 species